GACGAACGCUGGCGGCGUGCUUAACACAUGCAAGUCGAACGGAAAGGCCCUGCUUUUGUUGGGUGCUCGAGUGGCGAACGGGUGAGUAACACGUGAGUAACCUGCCCUUGACUUUGGGAUAACUUCAGGAAACUGGGGCUAAUACCGGAUAGGAGCUCCUGCUGCACGGGGGGGGUUGGAAAGUUUCGGCGGUUGGGGAUGGACUCGCGGCUUACCAGCUUGUUGGUGGGGUAGUGGCUUACCAAGGCUUCGACGGGUAGCCGGCCUGAGAGGGUGACCGGCGACAUUGGGACUGAGAUACGGCGCAGACUCCUACGGGACGCAACGGUGGGGAGUCUUGCACAGCGGGCGGGAGCCUGAUGCAGCGACGCCGCGAGCGGGAGGACGGCCUUCGGGUUGUAAACCGCUUUCGCCUGUGACGAAGCGUGAGUGACGGUAAUGGGUAAGGAAGCAACGGCUAACUACGUG
rnacentral:rRNA from 1 species